rnacentral:rRNA from 1 species
GACGAACGCUGGCGGCGUGCUUAACACAUGCAAGUCGAACGGUGAAGCGCCUUCCUUUUUGGUGGGUGUGGAUGAGUGGCGAACGGGUGAGUAACACGUGAGUAACCUGCCCCCUUCUUCAGGAUAACCGCAUGAAAGUGUGGCUAAUACGGGAUAUUCUGGGUCUGUAGCAUGAUGGGUCUGGGAAAGAUAUUGGUUCGGUGGGGGAUGGGCUCGCGGCCUAUCAGCUUGUUGGGGGGGUGAUGGCCUAGCAGGGCUGUGGCGGGUAGACGGCCUGAGGGGGUGGACGGCCACACUGGGACUGAGACCCGGCCGAGACUGAUACGAGAGGCAGCCGGGGAGAAUAUUGCAAAAUGGGGGCAAGACUGCUACAGCGUCGCCGCGUAAGGGAUGGAGGCCUUCGGGUUGUGAGCCUCUUUCGGCAGUGAAGCAGGCCUGCCUCGUUUGUGGGUGGAUUGACGGUAGCUGGAUAAGAAGCGCCGGCUAACUACGUG